ACGAACGCUGGCGGCGUGCCUAAUACAUGCAAGUAGAACGCUGAAGAGAGGAGCUUACUCUUCUUGGAUGAGUUGCGAACGGGUGAGUAACGCGUAGGUAACCUGCCUUGUAGCGGGGGAUAACUAUUGGAAACGAUAGCUAAUACCGCAUAACAAUGGAUGACACAUGUCAUUUAUUUGAAAGGGGCAAUUGCUCCACUACAAGAUGGACCUGCGUUGUAUUAGCUAGUAGGUGAGGUAAUGGCUCACCUAGGCGACGAUACAUAGCCGACCUGAGAGGGUGAUCGGCCACACUGGGACUGAGACACGGCCCAGACUCCUACGGGAGGCAGCAGUAGGGAAUCUUCGGCAAUGGGGGCAACCCUGGCCGAGCAACGCCGCGUGAGUGAAGAAGGUUUUCGGAUCGUAAAGCUCUGUUGUAAGUCAAGAACGGGUGUGAGAGUGGAAAGUUCACACUGUGACGGUAGCUUACCAGAAAGGGACGGCUAACUACGUG
rnacentral:rRNA from 1 species